rnacentral:rRNA from 1 species
CGUACCCAUCCCGAACACGACCGUUAAGCCCUCCAGCGCCGAUGGUACUUGGACCGCAGGGUCCCGGGAGAGUAGGACGUCGCCAAGC